rnacentral:rRNA from 1 species
AUGGCCUGGUCAUGGUCAUCGGCACGAGCAGCGGCAAUGGCGAGCAGGGGAAACCAAUGUCGUGGAGCUUGCCUCCUGCAGUUUCUUGGAGAGGGCAGAGAGCAGGUGAGAGAGGGAACGGGAGAAGAAGAAUGGAAGGAGAAGCCGCUGGGCACGGCCGGUCCUGGUAAUGGUCGCCGGAGGUGUGGUUUGCCGGGGCAGCGGGGACGACACAAGGCGGGAGGCGACAGGGAGCUUCUCUCCCCGGCUCACGACGAGGGGAACAGGGGUUCGGCGUGGGCUGUGGUGGUUGGAUGGAUCGGUGCAUGGAUUGGAUCGAAAGGAUUCGAUCCAAGGAGAGACUAG